rnacentral:tRNA from 1 species
UGGCUUAGUGGUUAAGAGUUUGGCUGCAAACCAAAUGGUCGGCAGUUUGAAUCUACC